AAUAUUGCACAAUGGGCGCAAGCUUGAUGCAGCGACGCCGCGUGGGGGAUGACGGCCUUCGGGUUGUAAACCUCUUUCAGUAUCGGCGAAGCUUGCGGGUUUUCUCGCAGGUGACGGUAGGUACAGCAGAAGCACCGGCCAACUACGUGCCAGCCACCGCGGUAAUACGUAGGGGGCGAGCGUUGUCCGGCAUUACUGGGCGUAAAGAGCUCGUAGGUGGUUUGGCGCGUUGUUCGUGAAAACUCACAGCUUAACUGUGGGCGUGCGGGCGAUACGGGCAGACUGGAGUACUGUAGGGGAGACUGGAAUUCCUGGUGUAGCGGUGGAAUGCGCAGAUAUCAGGAGGAACACCGGUGGCGAAGGCGGGUCUCUGGGCAGUAACUGACGCUGAGGAGCGAAAGCGUGGGGAGCGAACAGG
rnacentral:rRNA from 1 species